rnacentral:misc_RNA from 1 species
GAUGAAGAACGUAGCGAAAUGCGAUAAGUAGUGUGAAUUGCAGAAUUCAGUGAAUCAUCGAAUCUUUGAACGCACAUUGCGCCCCUUGGUAUUCCAUGGGGCAUGCCUGUUCGAGCGUCAUUUGUACCUUCAAGCUCUGCUUGGUGUUGGGUGUUUGUCUCGCCUCUGCGUGUAGACUCGCCUCAAAACAAUUGGCAGCCGGCGUAUUGAUUUCGGAGCGCAGUACAUCUCGCGCUUUGCACUCAUAACGACGACGUCCAAAAGUACAUUUUUACACUCUUGACCUCGGAUCAGGUAGGGAUACCCGCUGAACUUAAGCAUAUCAAUAAGCGGACGA